GAGUAACACGUGGGAACGUGCCCUUCAGUUCGGAACAACCCAUUGGAAACUUGGGCUAAUAUCGGAUACGUCCGUAAGUGAGACACCGAUUUUCGCUGAAGGAUACCGGCCCGCUGUCUCGAUUAGUUACGUUCGUGGGGUAAUGGCCCAUCCAAGGCGACGAUCAGUAGCUGGUCUGAUGAGGAUGAUCAGCCUCAGUGGGCACUGAGACACGGCUCCAAACUCAAACGGGAGGCACGCAGUGGGGAAUAUUGGACAAUGGGCGCACGCCUGAUCCAGUCCAUGCCGUCGUGGGUAUGAAGGUCCUAGGUGUUGUAAAGUCCCUUUCGGCUGGGGAAGAUAUAUGACGGUACCCGCAGAAGAAGUCCCCGGCUAA
rnacentral:rRNA from 1 species